rnacentral:rRNA from 1 species
UUCGGGACAACAGGUUGAUAUUCCUGUACCAGUUGCUUUUGUUUGAGCGAUGGAGGGACGCAGGAGGCUAAGGAAUGCACACGAUCGGAAAUGUGUGUCCAAGCAGCAAGUCUGAGAACGAGUGAAAUGCUUUUUCUCUCAAGGACAAGCUGUGAUGGGGAGCGAAAUUUAGUAGCGAAGUUCCUGAUGUCACACUGCCAAGAAAAGCUUCUAGUGAGAAAGUAACUGCCCGUACCGCAAACCGACACAGGUAGUUGAGGAGAGAAUCCUAAGGUGUGCGAGAGAACUCUCGUUAAGGAACUCGGCAAAAUGACCCCGUAACUUCGGGAGAAGGGGUGCUGACCGCAAGGUCAGCCGCAGUGAAUAGGCCCAAGCGACUGUUUAUCAAAAACACAGGUCUCUGCAGAAUCGAAAGAUGACGUAUAGGGGCUGACGCCUGCCCGGUGCUGGAAGGUUAAGAGGAGAGGUUAGCGCAAGCGAAGCUUUGAAUUGAAGCCCCAGUAAACGGCGGCCGUAACGAUAACGGUCCUAAGGUAGCGAAAUUCCUUGUCGGGUAAGUUCCGACCCGCACGAAAGGCGUAACGAUUUGGGCACUGUCUCAACGAGAGACUCGGUGAAAUUAUAGUACCAGUGAAGAUGCUGGUUACCCGCGACAGGACGGAAAGACCCCAUGGAGCUUUACUGCAGUUUGAUAUUGAGUGUUUGUAUCACAUGUACAGGAUAGGUAGGAGCCGAAGAUACCGGGACGCCAGUCUCGGAGGAGGCAACGGUGGGAUACUACCCUUGUGAUAUGACCACUCUAACCCGCUGCUCUUAGCGAGCAGGGAGACAGUGUCAGACGGGCAGUUUGACUGGGGCGGUCGCCUCCAAAAAUGUAACGGAGGCGCCCAAAGGUUCCCUCAGAAUGGUUGGAAAUCAUUCGUAGAGUGUAAAGGCAGAAGGGAGCUUGACUGCGAGACCUACAAGUCGAGCAGGGACGAAAGUCGGGCUUAGUGAUCCGGUGGUUCCGCAUGGAAGGGCCAUCGCUCAACGGAUAAAAGCUACCCUGGGGAUAACAGGCUUAUCUCCCCCAAGAGUUCACAUCGACGGGGAGGUUUGGCACCUCGAUGUCGGCUCAUCGCAUCCUGGGGCUGUAGUCGGUCCCAAGGGUUGGGCUGUUCGCCCAUUAAAGCGGUACGCGAGCUGGGUUCAGAACGUCGUGAGACAGUUCGGUCCCUAUCCGUCGCGGGCGUUGGAAAUUUGAGAGGAGCUGUCCUUAGUACGAGAGGACCGGGAUGGACACACCGCUGGUGUACCAGUUGUUCUGCCAAGAGCAUCGCUGGGUAGCUAUGUGUGGACGGGAUAAACGCUGAAAGCAUCUAAGCGUGAAGCCCCCCUCAAGAUGAGAUUUCCCAUCACUUUAAGUGAGUAAGACCCCUGAGAGAUGAUCAGGUAGAUAGGUUGGGAGUGGAAGUACAGCGAUGUAUGGAGCGGACCAAUACUAAUCGGUCGAGGACUUAACCU